rnacentral:tRNA from 1 species
AGGGGCAUAGCACAAUGGUUAGUGUACUCGGCUCUGAACCGAGGUAUCUUGGUUCGAUUCCAAGUGCCCCCG